AGUUAAUCGUGCGGUUGCGGGCAAAGAAAUUUGCGUGAGGAAAGUCCGAGCAUCGCAGGGCAACGGUGCCUGCUAACGGCAGGUGAAGGCGACUUUAAGGAAAGUGAACAGAAAUACACCGCAGAAAUUUUUCUGUAAGGUUGGAAUGGCGAGGUAAGAGCUCACCGUGGCGGCGGUAACGCCGCCAGCCAAUUAAACCCCACCGGAUGCAAGAUUGGGGCGACGGCUGAUUUUAAUAUCGGGGCUGCCCGUCCGCCGCCGUCCGUCAACAUCGCUUGAACCUGCGGGCGACCGCAGGUGUAGAUAGAUAACCGCACUCGACAGAACUCGGCUUACAGAUUAA
rnacentral:RNase_P_RNA from 1 species